rnacentral:rRNA from 1 species
GCUUGUCGCGUCUGCUGUGAAAACCCGGGGCUUAACCCCGGGCUUGCAGUGGGUACGGGCAGGCUAGAGUGUGGUAGGGGAGACUGGAAUUCCUGGUGUAGCGGUGGAAUGCGCAGAUAUCAGGAGGAACACCGAUGGCGAAGGCAGGUCUCUGGGCCAUUACUGACGCUGAGAAGCGAAAGCGUGGGGAGCGAACAGGAUUAGAUACCCUGGUAGUCCACGCCGUAAACGUUGGGCGCUAGGUGUGGGUCCCAUUCCACGGGGUCCGUGCCGCAGCUAACGCAUUAAGCGCCCCGCCUGGGGAGUACGGCCGCAAGGCUAAAACUCAAAGGAAUUGACGGGGGCCCGCACAAGCGGCGGAGCAUGCGGAUUAAUUCGAUGCAACGCGAAGAACCUUACCAAGGCUUGACAUAUACCGGAAACCUCCAGAGAUGGGGGCCCCGCAAGGUUGGUAUACAGGUGGUGCAUGGUUGUCGUCAGCUCGUGUCGUGAGAUGUUGGGUUAAGUCCCGCAACGAGCGCAACCCUCGUUCUAUGUUGCCAGCACGUGAUGGUGGGGACUCAUAGGAGACUGCCAGGGUCAACUCGGAGGAAGGUGGGGAUGACGUCAAAUCAUCAUGCCCCUUACGUCUUGGGCUUCACGCAUGCUACAAUGGCCGGUACAGAGGGCUGCGAAACCGUGAGGUGGAGCGAAUCCCUUAAAGCUGGUCUCAGUUCGGAUUGGGGUCUGCAACUCGACCCC